rnacentral:lncRNA from 13 species
UUGUUCAACUGAUAAUAAUUAUGAUUUAGAACGUAUUUUAAAAAAUUCAGUGAAAGGUCACUCCGUUUUAUCUGCAUAUCAAUUCCAAGGGGAAUUAGAUGAAAAGCAUCGAAACAUUUUGGCUGAUAUUAUUGUGCAUCAUGAACUAAAGGAUAAUUUAAAUGCUCGAGUUACUUCUGAACGUGCAGAGUUUAUUGCUGAAAAAAUAAUUAAUUUAUUUCCUAAAGAAGAAAAGGUUAGUCAUUUUAAAUGUACAA